CACCAUCCUGACAUCAACACCAUCCUGACAUCAACACCAUCCUGACAUCAACACAACACCAACACCAUCCUGACACCAACACCACAUCAACACCAUCCUGACAUCAACACCAUCCUGACAUCAACACAACACCAACACCGUACUGACACCAACACCAUCCUGACAUCAACACCAUCCUGACACCAACACCGUACUGACACCAACACCAUGCUGACAUCAACACCAUCCUGACACCAACACCGUACUGACACCAACACCAUCCUGACAUCAACACCAUCCUGACACCAACAGCAUAUUACAACACUGCACUCAU
rnacentral:lncRNA from 13 species